rnacentral:rRNA from 1 species
GGAUGCGAUCAUACCAGCACUAAAGCACCAGAUCCCAUCAGAACUCCGAAGUUAAGCGUGCUUGGGCGAGAGUAGUACUAGGAUGGGUGACCUCCUAGGAAGUCCUCGUGUUGCAUUCC